GUCAGGACAUGUUUGGCAUGCCACUUGCAAGUGUUUUUAAAAUGAAUUCACAUGGAAACUUUCUGAUUAUUCUCGGGAGCAGUGAUAAUUGGGCAUGAUGGGAAGAUCUUACUCUACUAUGACAACUUAUGUGGUCAUACCAUCUCCUCUGAAGCCUUUUGCAGAGUCAGAGACUGUGACUGUGUGGGAAAUUCAAUGCAGGAAAUGGGAAGAAAUGGACUGCUUCUGGAAAAUGCUGUUUUAAUACAAGGAAUUCUGAUUGGGUGUCUGGUUGAACUGUUCUGUGCAUGCAAUGCCAAUGCACUAAUCCACCCAUCAGUACAGUGCCCAGCUGCUCUGAAACAUUUGCUGCUUGAUUCUCAUCUCAAGAAAGAUGCAAACAAGGAGGCAUAAACAGGAGAAGUAGAGAGGCUUCUUCA
rnacentral:lncRNA from 1 species